UUUCCGUAGGUGAACCUGCGGAAGGAUCAUUAAUGAGUUGUCAUGGGGAUCGAUGCUGGCAGCCAGUUUUUGGAUGCAUGUGCUUGCCCUAACAAUCAUCUUCUUCCAAACACCUGUGCACAUUUUUGAGGGAGUCUUGAGUUGGUUGCCGCUCUUGGGUGAUUUUCUCACAUUCCCUUAAAUCAUUACACGCUAUUAACAAUGUUGAACGUGCUCUGUGCCGCAAGGCCAUUAAUAUAAUACAACUUUUAACAACGGAUCUCUUGGCUCUC
rnacentral:misc_RNA from 1 species